GACGAACGCUGGCGGCGUGCUUAACACAUGCCAGUCGAACGGAAAGGCCCUGCUUUUGUGGGGUGCUCGAGUGGCGAACGGGUGAGUAACACGUGAGUAACCUGCCCUUGACUUUGGGAUAACUUCAGGAAACUGGGGCUAAUACCGGAUAGGAGCUCCUGCUGCAUGGUGGGGGUUGGAAAGUUUCGGCGGUUGGGGAUGGACUCGCGGCUUAUCAGCUUGUUGGUGGGGUAGUGGCUUACCAAGGCUUUGACGGGUAGCCGGCCUGAGAGGGUGACCGGCCACAUGGGGACUGAGAGACGGCCCAGACUCCUACGGGAGGCAGCAGUGGGGAAUAUUGCACAAUGGGCGGAAGCCUGAUGCAGCAACGCCGCGUGCGGGAUGACGGCCUUCGGGUUGUAAACCGCUUUCGCCUGUGACGAAGCGUGAGUGACGGUAAUGGGUAAAGAAGCACCGGCUAACUACGUG
rnacentral:rRNA from 1 species